UACGUAGGGUGCGAGCGUUAAUCGGAAUUACUGGGCGUAAAGCGCGCGCAGGCGGUCAGAGGCGUCGGUGCUCAAAGUCCACCGCUUAACGGUGGGAGGCGUGCCGAUACGCUCUGACUGGAGGGCGGGCGAGGGUGGUGGAAUUGCCGGUGUAGUGGUGGAAAUGCGUAGAGAUCGGCAGGAACACCAGUGGCGAAGGCGGCCACCUAGCCCGCACCUGACGCUGAGGCGCGCAGCGUGGGGAGCGAACUGG
rnacentral:rRNA from 1 species